GACGAACGCUGGCGGCGUGCUUAACACAUGCAAGUCGAACGGAAAGGCCCUGCUUUUGUGGGGUGCUCGAGUGGCGAACGGGUGAGUAACACGUGAGUAACCUGCCCUUGACUUUGGGAUAACUUCAGGAAACUGGGGCUAAUACCGGAUAGGAGCUCCUGCUGCAUGGUGGGGGUUGGAAAGUUUCGGCGGUUGGGGAUGGACUCGCGGCUUAUCAGCUUGUUGGUGGGGUAGUGGCUUACCAAGGCUUUGACGGGUAGCCGGCCUGAGAGGGUGACCGGCCAAAUUGGGACUGAGGUACGGCCCAGACUCCUACGGGGGGCAGCAGGGGGGAAUAUUGCACCAUGGGGGGAAGCCUGAUGCAGCAACGCCGCGUGCGGGAUUACGGCCUUCGGGUUUGAAACCGCUUUCGCCUGGGACGAAGCGUGAGUGACGGUAAUGGGUAAAGAAGCACCGGCUAACUACGUG
rnacentral:rRNA from 1 species